GCGGGAUUAGUUAAAUGGUAUAACUGCGCUUUUCCAAAGCGCAAUCAGGAGUUCGAUUCUCCUAUCCCGCA
rnacentral:tRNA from 1 species